GUGUCCUCUUCCGAUAACUUGCGUCUAACUCACGCGUGAACGUCCGCGUGUUCAUCGAAACCUGCUCGAUGUUACAUGGGCUAUGAGAUCUGGCGUUUAUUUCGCACGUAGGCGUACUCGUGUCCAACAUGUCACUCGGAAGCACGUUUAUUGAAACCCGCUCAACGUGAGAUGGGCAAGCGGAAC
rnacentral:lncRNA from 1 species